rnacentral:sRNA from 1 species
UCGCAGGUUCGAAUCCUGCACGACCCACCAAUCGCUAAGGUGGAAGCGGUAGUAAAACGUGAAGGAUAACGUUGCAUCAGCAACGGCCCGAAGGGCGAGACGAAGUCGAGUCAUCCUGCACGACCCACCA